UACGAAGGGGGCUAGCGUUACUCGGAAUGACUGGGCGUAAAGGGCGCGUAGGCGGUUUGCUUAGUUAGGCGUGAAAUUCCUGGGCUCAACCUGGGGGCUGCGCUUAAUACAGGCAGACUAGAGUGUGAAAGAGGGUCGUGGAAUUUCCAGUGUAGAGGUGAAAUUCGUAGAUAUUGGGAAGAACACCGGUGGCGAAGGCGGCGACCUGGUCCGUGACUGACGCUGAGGCGCGAAAGCGUGGGGAGCAAACAGG
rnacentral:rRNA from 1 species